rnacentral:sRNA from 1 species
ACGCACCGACAACGACGUGCACUGAAGAGAAUGCGAGCGGAACGCAAGGGUCUCACCCUGUGAGAGAGGUAGGAAGAAAAGGAAGCGCGGGCGGCGAACUACCUCGCGGCGCUAAAUGUAUGUGCGCGCGCGCGUGUGUGUGUGUGUGUGUGUGCCACUAAUACACUCAGAACGCAUUCGAAUGUUGUGGCGCGGCGCGGUGCGGUGCGGUACAGAAAACGCCACGCAGGCGCUUCCAUUCCCUUCACGGCUCCAAUUCCAUAGUACGUGAAACUCUGAAAAACACGUUCCGAUAAAUGCAGAGACAUUUGCUCUAAAAAAAGGAGAAUCCAGAAAGAAUGCAAUCCAAAAUGA